rnacentral:rRNA from 1 species
AGCGAACGCUGGCGGCAGGCCUAACACAUGCAAGUCGAACGAACCUUUCGGGGUUAGUGGCGGACGGGUGAGUAACACGUGGGAACGUGCCUUUAGGUUCGGAAUAACUCAGGGAAACUUGUGCUAAUACCGAAUGUGCCCUUCGGGGGAAAGAUUAAUCGCCUUUAGAGCGGCCCGCGUCUGAUUAGCUAGUUGGUUGAGGUAAUGGCUCACCAAGGCGACGAUCAGUAGCUGGUCUGAGAGGAUGAUCAGCCACAUUGGGACUGAGACACGGCCCAAACUCCUACGGGAGGCAGCAGUGGGGGAUCUUGCGCAAUGGGCGAAAGCAUGACGCAGCCAUGCCGCGUGAAUGAUGAAGGUCUUAGGAUUGUAAAAUUCUUUCACUGGGGACGAUAAUGACGGUACCCGGAGAAGAAGCCCCGGCUAACUUCGUG